GUAUGUAUUGCAAUAUCCUCUGAGGCCAUGGUGGCGACCGUAUGAGUUGGAGAACCGGUGCGAGGAGGUGAGGCUUAAGCCUGCCACUUCAGAAAUGGAGAUUGAUUUGUCUCUUAAUCUUGACCCUAAGAAUUACGACGAAGAUUGCGGUAACAGACUUAAAAUGACUAAGCAGACUUUGUAUACAACAUGGAAGCCAACUCGCACAACUGGAACUGGCUAUGCUGUUGGGGUUUUGAUGGGUGAUAAGGUUGGUUUGUCAUUAAGAUCGUCUGAGGAGACCGUGAUUCCA